rnacentral:rRNA from 1 species
GCUGGUAGAGCGCGCCCACUGCGCAAAGUAGACUGGGGUCGGAGGGUAGCGACAGAUAGGGAGGAGGUUGGAAUAGAAGAGGGGUCGAGAUCGCGGAGCGGCGUCGUGGAGGAAGAGGGAGCGAAGGAAGGGGAUGUAGAGUCUAGAAAGGAAAAAGGAACCGGUACUCUCGUCCUCUCGUGCAGGAGCAGGGAACACUGGCGGGUCCAGCAGGGAGGGGAGCGAGCGCACUCCACGGAGGAGGUUGGCGUGGGCCACUACCACGGGGCUCGGCGAACUUCGUCCGGUCGGUCGUCGGCGGGUACAAGGAGGAGAGUGAGCCGAAAAGAGAGAGGAGGAGAGAGUUAAAAACGGUACCUGUUGGGAGCGUCGUGGGGUGGGCGGUAGAGGCCAGUGGAGAGGCAGCUGGAGCACGAGGAGGCGGAGCUAGGUAGGUGGCGCGGUGGCCUUAGUGCGGCCUCGUCGGCCUAGGCGUCGGAGGACGGAGCAGACAGCAGCCCUCUCGGCGGAGUGCGUCCCUUCCUACACCGGUACCUUGUGUUAGGCGUCGUGUGGCAAGAGCGACGGCCUUUGGAGAUGCAGCCGGAGCUCGAGGAGGCGGAGCUAGGCAGGCAAGCUGGGCGGCGGCGGAGGACGUAGCGGACAGCAGACCUCCUCCUGUAGGCUCUCAUCACGGGCAAGCAGGCGGCGCACCUGACCGAGUCGGGUCGAGCGGGCGAUUUCGGCAGCUCGUAGAACAAAAGGACGGCAUAGCUCCGUCGUGAUGAGACGGAGCGGGGCGUGGCGGCGACAGAGGAGGCGGAGGUGGGCGCGGCGGGGAGAAGAGGGGCAGGUCGAAGGCGUAGUGCCUCGCGUCGGUGGCCUAGCGGCGCUUACCGUUCCUCGUCGUACCCGCACCCCAGCUCAGCCCCUGCGUUCGUACCAGUAAUAGGUGAAUUUUCCUAACGCCCAACUUAUGGGGUUUGGUGUCCCAGAAAAAACAUUUUACACGCUGCUGCAUGCUGUCUUUGGCUUAAACGAAA